GAGUGAUCCCCAAAUCUUUAAGCCAAGAAUAUUGUUUACAAUGAUUGUGCUUCUUAGUAUCUGAUAAAAUGAACAUAAGUUACUGAAGGAGCAUUCUCAGACAACUUCCAAAGAAUAUAUUACAGUCAAGAAUUAACAUACAAACAAAACAAAAACAAAACCAAGAAAUAAGCCACCUUAAAUAAGAGUAGCAGAAGAAAACAGACCUGAAUGAGACCCAUAAAGCUUUGCAUACUGGAAUUAUUAGACAUAGAUUAGAAAAUUAGCAUAUUUGAUAUGUUUAAAUAAAAGAAGCGAUUGAACACAAAUCAUUUUAUAUGGCUAUAAAGAUUAUUUUAAAGUGACCAAUGGAUUGGAAAAAUAAGAGACCCCCAAAUAGCCAAAGCAGUCCUCAUCAAGAAAAGUGAAGCAGGAGGCCUCACAAUGCCAGACCUUAAGUUAUACUACAGAGCUAUAGUAACAAAAGCAGUUUGGUAGUGGCACCAAAACAGACAUGAAGACCAAUGGUACAAAAUAGAAGACACAGAGAAAACCCACCUAAAUACAGUUAUCUCAUACCAGACAAGGGUGCCAUAAAUGUACAUUGAAA
rnacentral:lncRNA from 1 species